UACGUAGGUGGCAAGCGUUGUCCGGAUUUAUUGGGUUUAAAGGGUGCGUAGGCGGCCCUGUAAGUCAGUGCUGAAAUACCCCGGCCUAACCGGGGGGGUGGCAUUGAUACUGCAGGGCUUGAGUACAGAUGGGGUAGGCGGAAUUGACGGUGUAGCGGUGAAAUGCAUAGAUAUCGUCAAGAACACCGAUAGCGAAGGCAGCUUACUGGGCUGUAACUGACGCUGAUGCACGAAAGUGUGGGGAUCAAUCAGG
rnacentral:rRNA from 1 species